rnacentral:rRNA from 1 species
GACGAACGCUGGCGGCGUGCUUAACACAUGCAAGUCGAACGGAAAGGCCUGCUUUCCCUUGUGGAUUGCGGGUACUCGAGUGGCGAACGGGUGAGUAACACGUGAGUGAUCUGCCCCCAACUUGGGUAUAAGCCUGGGAAACUGGGUCUAAUUCCCGAUAGGACUGCAGGGUGGUGCCUGUGGUGGAAAACGAUUUUCUAGUGGUUGGGGAUGAGCUCGCGGCCUAUCAGCUUGUUGGUGGGGUAAUGGCCUACCAAGGCGGCGACGUGUAGCCGGCCUGAGAGGGUGGACGGCCACAUUGGGACUGAGAUACGGCCCAGACUCCUACGGGAGGCAGCAGUGGGGAAUAUUGCACAAUGGGCGGAAGCCUGAUGCAGCGACGCCGCGUGGGGGAUGACGGCCUUCGGGUUGUAAACUCCUUUCGACCGCGAGGAAGCCACCUGGUUGGAAGGGUGGUGACGGUAGUGGUAGAAGAAGCACCGGCUAACUACGUG